AGAGUUUGAUCAUGGCUCAGGAUGAACGCUGGCGGCGUGCCUAACACAUGCAAGUCGAGCGAUCUUCUUCGGAAGAGAGCGGCGGACGGGUGAGUAACGCGUGGGUAACCUGCCCUGUACACACGGAUAACAUACCGAAAGGUAUGCUAAUACGGGAUAACAUAAGAAAUUCGCAUGUUUUUCUUAUCAAAGCUCCGGCGGUACAGGAUGGACCCGCGUCUGAUUAGCUAGUUGGUGAGGUAACGGCUCACCAAGGCCACGAUCAGUAGCCGACCUGAGAGGGUGAUCGGCCACAUUGGAACUGAGACACGGUCCAAACUCCUACGGGAGGCAGCAGUGGGGAAUAUUGCACAAUGGGCGAAAGCCUGAUGCAGCAACGCCGCGUGAGCGAUGAAGGCCUUCGGGUCGUAAAGCUCUGUCCUCAAGGAAGAUAAUGACGGUACUUGAGGAGGAAGCCCCGGCUAACUACGUGCCAGCAGCCGCGGUAAUACGUAGGGGGCUAGCGUUAUCCGGAUUUACUGGGCGUAAAGGGUGCGUAGGCGGUCUUUUAAGUCAGAAGUGAAAGGCUACGGCUUAACCGUAGUAAGCUUUUGAAACUGGAGAACUUGAGUGCAGGAGAGGAGAGUGGAAUUCCUAGUGUAGCGGUGAAAUGCGUAGAUAUUAGGAGGAACACCAGUAGCGAAGGCGGCUCUCUGGACUGUAACUGACGCUGAGGCACGAAAGCGUGGGGAGCAAACAGGAUUAGAUACCCUGGUAGUCCACGCCGUAAACGAUGAGUACUAGCUGUCGGAGGUUACCCCCUUCGGUGGCGCAGCUAACGCAUUAAGUACUCCGCCUGGGGAGUACGCUCGCAAGAGUGAAACUCAAAGGAAUUGACGG
rnacentral:rRNA from 1 species